UGGGAGGAGGCGAGUUCAACGUCCGCUGACAGCGCCAUCUUGACAAGCACCUCCCGUUGGAUUUUAAAAAUGGAGGGCUCAAGUGCUUACAGAGAUUCAAACGUGCCGUCCAUUUGGACUUAUUCUCAUGGCAGCGUAAUAUGUUAUUGAUUAGUAGAGAGUCCAGAACGUGUGAUGCUCUUUGUAACUGCAGGCUGGUGGAUGACUUCUACGCAAAAUGAUGACCAGGUAAGACAGCAUGUGAAGACACUCGCAACCAUGGGACACCUUGGACUCAUUCUCGUUUUCCCCUCAGCAGUACUACAUUUUAGUAAUAUCUUAAAAAUAGUCACAGACUAUGAAAUGUGAAAGAGAGAAAUACAGAGAGGAGAACACUGCUGCAUCUGUCAUGUGGAAAUGAUAAUCAGCUAGAUUGUUCAAAAUGCUUUGAGUCCAGUUCGACGGCAAGAACGAAAUGGGAAUGCUGUUGACGCACUUCUACAGAUUCCUUUCCAGAAUCAAAAGGUUUCUGAGAAGUAUUAAGAUUGAAAACAAAAACCGUCCUACUGAACUGAAGAAAACAAAGCCGGUGAAUCCCAACUUGCGGGAAUCAAAGAGACCUUCCAGCUCCAGGCAGGCCUCAUCCCAACUCCAGAGAAGACCACACUUCAGCUCUUGUCUGUAGGAGAAUCUCAACUAGAGAUGCCUAGAAGAAUGAGAAUCCACCUUGGACCUAUCACUUCAGAAAUGCUGAUUACACUACACUCAUCAGAAUCCAUGUAGAUGACUCAAAUUGUGCUACGGCACCCUCGUCUCAAAGUGAGACCAAAGACUCUCGGUCCUCAAUGAGCGAGCAGAGCAUACCAAGAAACACCAGGUUUGCUGUGCUCCUCUAUUCAAACUCAUUAAAUGAAGAAUUGUCUUACUUAAAUGUGAUAGAGGGGAAUUCAGCUCAAAAUCGUUAAUAUUGGAAAUGGAAAUUAUUCUUUCUGGACGCCAUGGCUCUAUCGCUCCUCUGCUGGUUGUCAGGUGGACUUUAGAACAGUAUUUCCACAUAUUCUGUUUCCUCUGUAGCUGGAUGCCUCCCUGAACGAAGGCAGGACUCCACACUGCUGUCUGCUGUUCCAACACAUGUAAGGGUCCACUCACCAGCCUUGAAAAAAUUGUGACAAUAUACGUCUCCAGAUUUUUAGCAAGAAAUAUUCAAAAUGUUACUUUUGAGUUCAAAUUCAGUAAAAUCAAAUAGUUUUAGCAAAUGAGUUAAGUUGUAAAAGCCAUUUAUGUAGAAAGUAUUUCCGUUAGAAGCAUCAUGCAUUCAUUUGACGUUUAUUGAGUAGCCUCCUAUGUUUAUAUGUAUUUUAAGUCUUUAGUCUCUACCUAUGGAGUGAAAAGUUUUAUUUCUCUAAGAAUUUUCAAGUAUGUGAAAAUAGAGAGAGAAAUCUAAAAAUGAAGAAACUGAAAUAGGCCUGGUCUUGCAGAGCAGUAACUCCAAUGUCCCAACCAAAAAUGAAUGUUUUACUUGAUUGGCAAAUGGGAGAAAAGAAGAUGCUAACAAAGGAGUUUCUUACUACUGAAAAUUUGUCUGUUUCAUUUAGACCAGGAUUCGAUUCUACAAAUGACAGUAUCGCCAACAUGAUCGUGUUCUAGCCUCUACAGCCAUGGAGGGGUCAAUUUCCGUUUUUCCUUAUUUCUGCACUUUGUGAGGCUAUUCUUUAACCCCUUACAACCUAACUGAAAAGCAGACUUGUGACAGAAGAGCAGUUAGAAUAAAGGGGGUUAAUAAAACUCUAGGAAUGCUCCUUAUAACUCAAAGUUUAUGGUCUACGCAUUGAGUAAUUGAGACCAGAGUCAUCAGAAAAAUAAAUUAGGAGCAGUCUGAGAGUUCAGUGGAUUCUGGCUGUUGGCUUGCUUGCUCCACUCCACACCGAGAGGAGUGUGGCCUAUUCAGCACAGCGGGGUUCUUGCUAGCUCUGUGCCGUGGUCAAGGUUGAGCCCGCCAUUGCACUGAGAGUGGGCCCCUGCACACUUGGAUUGAAUGAAGUCAGGACUGCCAGCCAGCCAUUGUCAGUUAGUAGCUGAAUUGCAGAGAUCUUGGCACAGAGGGUUUAAAAAUAUGCUCUGGCUAGUCCCAAAAGAAUUACUUCACUUUUAGAGUACUUUGAAAACACACAGAUCCUAGAGCAAGGCCAGAUGUGUGUUGGCACAGGUUUAUCUACUAUAUUCAUUUGUAUAUGUUCAUGGUACCCAUUGGUACGUCUAAGCUUUUGUACGGAAAAAUAAUAUCCUUGAAUGGAAGUGAUUGGAGGAGAAUCCAUUUCCUCUGUGAGCUGAGGCUGUGAUAAUGACAUGCAUACAGGGUUCGGGGUCAGCCAAGCUGGUAGAAUGACCGUGCAUUGUUUAUCAUCUAUAUUUCACAUGGCAGAGCAGUCCAUUUCUAAAUCGAUCAGUAGCCUGGCAGGGAUGCUGACUUCACUUCACAUCGAACAAAAGUAUAUAUAAAAUAGAGUCUUCCCCGGGAUGGCAGUGCAGUGUUACAUAAGGAGAGCUGAACCAGGAAUCAGGAACACUUGGUCUAGCCCAGUUCUUCUGCAAACUCAUGGCGGGACCAUGGGCAACGCGCAGUCACUCUGGGUCUCCUUCUCCUUAUUUGCAAAUCGAGGGGGUUUCACUCUCUCUAGUAUGUAGACCACGCCACUGGUCUCUUUUUUUAAAAUUAUUUUAUUGAGGUCAUGUUGGCUGAUAACACUGCAUAAAUUUCAGGUGU